rnacentral:rRNA from 1 species
CGGACGGGCCCCGCACAAGCAGCGGAGUCGUGUGGUUUAAUUCGUUGCUAACACGAAGAACCUUACCUGGGUUUGACAUGAUGGUGGUAGGGAUCCGAAAGGUGACCGACCUUCGGGGAGCCAUUACAGGUGUUGCAUGGCUGUCGUCAGCUCGUGUCGUGAGAUGUUCGGUUAAGUCCGCUAACGAGCGCAACCCUCGCUGUGUGUUAUAUGUGUCACACAGGACUGCUGGUAUUAAGCCGGAGGAAGUGGGGACGACGUCAAGUCAGCAUGACCUUUAUAUCCAGGGCUACACACACGCUACAAUGGUCAGUACAAUGGGUUGCCAAGCCGCGAGGCGGAGCCAAUCCUAAAAAGCUGGCCUCAGUUCAGAUUGCAGUCUGAAACUCGACUGCAUGAAGUCGGAGUUGCUAGUAAACGCAGGUCAGCUAUACUGCGUUGAAUACGUUCCCGGGGCUU